AUUGAACGCUGGCGGCAGGCCUAACACAUGCAAGUCGAGCGGAUGAAGGGAGCUUGCUCCUGGAUUCAGCGGCGGACGGGUGAGUAAUGCCUAGGAAUCUGCCUGGUAGUGGGGGAUAACGUCCGGAAACGGGCGCUAAUACCGCAUACGUCCUGAGGGAGAAAGUGGGGGAUCUUCGGACCUCACGCUAUCAGAUGAGCCUAGGUCGGAUUAGCUAGUUGGUGGGGUAAGGGCCUACCAAGGCGACGAUCCGUAACUGGCCUGAGAGGAUGAUCAGUCACACUGGAACUGAGACACGGUCCAGACUCCUACGGGAGGCAGCAGUGGGGAAUAUUGGACAAUGGGCGAAAGCCUGAUCCAGCCAUGCCGCGUGUGUGAAGAAGGUCUUCGGAUUGUAAAGCACUUUAAGUUGGGAGGAAGGGCAGUAAGUUAAUACCUUGCUGUUUUGACGUUACCAACAGAAUAAGCACCGGCUAACUUCGUG
rnacentral:rRNA from 1 species